GUGGCCUACAUGGAUAACCGUGGCAAUUCUAGAGCUAAUACAUGCUUACAGGCCGGACUCACGGACGGCUGGUGUUAUUAGGUACGAACCAACCCUCGGGUUGCGCGGACUCAUGGUAACUGAUCGGAUCGCUUCGGCGAUGAGUCAUCCAAGUUUCUGCCCUAUCAGCUCUCGAUGGUAGUGUAUUGGACUACCAUGGCAGUCACGGGUAACGGAGAAUUAGGGUUCGGUUCCGGAGAGGGAGCCUGAGAAACGGCUACCACAUCUAAGGAAGGCAGCAGGCGCGUAAAUUACCCAAUCCUGACUCAGGGAGGUAGUGACAAGAAAUAACAACCCGGGGCUAUGCUUUCGGGAUUGCAAUGAUCGUAGUGUAAACAAAUUAGAAAGAAACCAUUGGAGGGCAAGUCUGGUGCCAGCAGCCGCGGUAAUUCCAGCUCCAAUAGCGUAUAUUAAAGUUGUUGCAGUUAAAAAGCUCGUAGUUCAACUUCUGUGCCGGCCCCGAGGGGCGACCUGGAGGGGCCGGCACAUCCGUCUGCACCACGCUUCGGCGUGAGGGCAGGCAGUUUACCUUGAGGAAACUAGAGUGUUCAAGGCAGGCGCAGGCCGGAAUACAUUAGCAUGGAAUAAUGGAAGAGGACUUCGAGCCGUUGUUGGUUGGGGGAGAAGUAAUGGUGAAGAGGGACAGUCGGGGGCAUUAGUAUUUAAUUGUCAGAGGUGAAAUUCUUGGAUUCAUUAAAGACUGACUUCUGCGAAAGCAUUUGCCAAGGAUGUUUUCAUUGAUCAAGAACGAAAGUUAGGGGAUCAAAGACGAUCAGAUACCGUCCUAGUCUUAACUAUAAACCAUACCGACUCGGGGUCAGCCGGGGCAUGUCCCCGACUGGCACCGUCCGAGAAAUCAAAGUCUUUGGGUUCUGGGGGGAGUAUGGUCGCAAGGCUGAAACUUAAAGGAAUUGACGGAAGGGCACCACCAGGAGUGGAGCCUGCGGCUUAAUUUGACUCAACACGGGGAAACUUACCAGGUCAAAACGUGGGGGUGAUGGACAGAUUGAGAGCUCUUUCUUGAUUCUACGGGUGGUGGUGCAUGGCCGUUCUUAGUUGGUGGAGUGAUUUGUCAGGUUAAUUCCUUUAACGAACGAGACCUUACCCUGCUAACUAGCGUCCAGUCUCAACCCCGGCGCUUCUUAGAGGGACUGUGCGAGCCUAUCGCACGGAAGUUUGAGGCAAUAACAGGUCUGUGAUGCCCUUAGAUGUCCUGGGCCGCACGCGCGCUACAAUGGCACACGCAGCGAGUACCUGAUCCGAAGGGAACCGGGUAACCUGUCAGGGUGUGCCGUGAUUGGGAUCGACCCUUGCAAUUAUGGGUCGUGAACGAGGAAUUCCUAGUAAGCGCCGGUCAUCAGCCGGCGCUGAUUACGUCCCUGCCCUUUGUACACACCGCCCGUCGCUCCUACCGAUUUUGAGUGAUCUGGUGAACCUUCUGGACCGGCUUGCUGGGAAGUUAAGUAAACCUGAUCACUUAGAGGAAGGAGAAGUCGUAACAAGGUUUCCGUAGGUGAACCUGCGGAAGGAUCAUAACGAACCCGCCUUCUCUGUUCUACGUUCCGAGGCCAUGAGCAGUCCGUCACACGUCCAGAACUAUCUUCAGCGAUGGAUCUCUGGGCUCCCACCUCGAUGAAGAACGCAGCGAAAUGCGAUACGCAGUGCGAAUUGCAGAACCGCGAGUCAUCUGAUUUUCGAACGCAAAGCGCCGGCAACGGCAUGUUCCGCUCAGCGUGCGCUCAAUCGUACGGAUGUGACUGAGUGUCUUUCACGGAGUCCGGAGGGACAGGCCCAGCGAGGCGUGUUCUUAGGCGGGCACCUGAGCGGAGCAAGACUA
rnacentral:rRNA from 1 species